rnacentral:lncRNA from 1 species
GCGCGGGUCGUAGUAUAGUUUUCUCUUUAUGCAAGGAAUGAGGCUUUGGAGUUAUAUAGCAAAUCAUCUUAAUUGGUCUUGGGUUAUUUUGUCUUCACACAAUUUCAUGAUGUACUUGCUUAUCUUCUAAGUAUCUAUCACAUGACCUUAGUAAAAUUGUCAUAACUUUUUAAUCAUUUGAAGGUUAUAAUUAAAGUAGUUCAACAGUGGCCUGGACAUAUGGUUUUAAAUCUGCCAAGAAUAUAUUUUUGCUUGUUCUUUGUACUUUUUCCCAACUUACCUCAAAAGACUCAAGACCACAAAAUUCUUAAAAAAUAUUAAAAUCUAUUAAAAACAGUAUUAAAACACCUGUAGAAACAUAUCAAACAAGGGUCAAAAGAUAUUAGGUUAUAUCACUUUCGUUGUUUGUGGGGAGAGGUUAGAGAGUGGGGAAGCCAAGCUAUGCCGAAGAUGGUGCACACGGAGUUUGUCUAACUCUUCCCGCUAAUUCAGGAAUGUGACUUUCGUCAAAAUGAAAGUCGGAAAACUGAUAUGAAUAUGUCUAAAGUUACCAAUUGAGAGAGCUUAUUAUACUUGUCGACUCUUACCCAAUAUGUAUAUCCCACACACAUGGACAAAGGAUACACUUUGCAAAAUGUAAGAACUAUGUCAAAAACUAUAACACACAUUGACUUGGGAUAUCUUUGUUGAAUUAUACUGUUAUAUUUUUGUUACAGAAAAAAAGAUA